ACAGCAGCAGCCACGGGAAUACGAAGGGUGCAAGCGUUAAUCGGAAUUACUGGGCGUAAAGCGUGCGUAGGCGGUUUGUUAAGUCUGCUGUGAAAUCCCCGGGCUCAACCUGGGAAUGGCAGUGGAUACUGGCAAGCUAGAGUGUGUCAGAGGAUGGUGGAAUUCCCGGUGUAGCGGUGAAAUGCGUAGAGAUCGGGAGGAACAUCAGUGGCGAAGGCGGCCAUCUGGGACAACACUGACGCUGAGGCACGAAAGCGUGGGGAGCAAACAGGAUUAGAUACCCCGGUAGUCCCUGUCUCUUAUAC
rnacentral:rRNA from 1 species